AUUUGAAAACACCGGCUUUUCGUUUUCGUGUGGACGGAAAACGUUUUGAAAACAGAGCUUCUCGAAAAUGCCGUCAAUAAUCAUGCGAUUUCUCUGACCGAAGUUUCUUCAAACACAAAUCCAAAAUGACCGGUGAUAGUUUUGUUUUCAAAUUUCUCCGACGUAGCGUGGUCGGAAAACGAUUGUUGUGUUUUCAAACCUCCAUAGUGUGGACAGAGCCUUAAAGUCCAAUGCCCCGAUAUAGUUGGCUGUCGAUAAACCUUCGAUCCCAUCGAUAUCCGUACGAUUGCCAUCCGCGAUCAAAGUUCGAAGUUCUCUAUUUUUUCUUCACUUUUAUCCAUCAUUUUUUCCAAAAUUUAGCCUAAUUUUUUUGCAGGUCAAAAGUGAGGUAUGCAAAGCGAUUCGUUGAGGACCUGAGAACAACAGAAUAUUCCCAAAAACUUCUCUAUUUUUAACUUCAUAUCAUCAAUCAUUGUAAUGCUAAAUACGCCGAGGAUCAGUGCAUCAUUAAAAAAUUACAAACUUUACCAAACUGUCAUAGGUGUUUUGGUUAACCUAAUAAUACGCGACCAGUGAUGGUUCGUUUACAUGUACAGUAUGUCAAAGUAAACCAUUUCAAAACACCUGUCGGCUUACGUACUGUGAUCUGUACGUCAAUGAAUUUUAUAGUUUUAAAUUCAGAUAGAAGCUGAAAGUUUCUAAAGUCGAAAAUUGUGAGAAUCCGUUUUCCAGUAUAUUACAACGUAAUGGCCGAACACGGAACACCGCUUCGAUUGUCAACCCUUCUAUUAUUCUUGACUUUCAUGGUGAUCACAGCUAACCAAACCUGCGAACAGAAGUCAUCCGAGAUGCAUUACGCCCUUGCUGGGCAUGCGCACAACUCUAUCGAGCUCAAUGAGUACCCAUCAUGCUUGAACGCCUGCUUGGGCGAUGGAAAAUGCGUCAGUUUCAACUACAACUUCGUAACGCUUCUGUGCGAGCUCAGUAAUAAGACCAAAGGGAUGGAGCCUGCCAGCUUUAUCGAGAAAAAAUACUCUACUUACACAGAAGUUCUGCGAUAGUUAAACCUGGACAGUGAUUUACAAUAUCAAACUUUGGAUAGUGAAAAACAACAACAGCAGCAACUUUAUUCACUCGUACAUUUACAUUUUAUAUAUGUAUAGAAGGGCAGAAAAAAUGUACAGUUUGAGUCUGGAGAUUGAAGUAACCCGAACGUUUUUUAGUCAGUCUGCAGUUACUGUUAUGUUUGUAUAGAUAUUUAAAAGAAUACAGAUCUGUUAAGAGAACAGAUGACCAUAUGCACAUAGUGUAAUAGAACGGAGAAAAUCAAUACAAGUUUUCAGAAUGUUGUUUAGACAUGCAGUAAAUAAAAUUUUAGUUGUUUAGAGAAGUUGAAGGCAUUGAGAUCUUUAAGGUUAGUGCAGAUACUGUCCCAGAGAAUAUUCGCUGUACGAGCUAUUGUUUGUGAAAUAAAGGCACACAAAAAAUAUUAAAUCUGGGACUGCUCUCCGUUACUCUAUAUUUCAUUUAAAAUCAAUUUAAGGUGAUUCCACUUAAAAAGAAGGAAUAUUAAACAUUUUCUCAAACUUCAUCCGUAUGGUAAUCAUGUUAUGUAAUUAGAAAAAAUGCAAUAAAAAUAAGGGGUCACCGUG